GUUUAAUUGUUCCUCUGCACCAGCCUCUUAUCUUUUCCUCGCAGGCACUGGAGCCAGUGAAGCCAGUGGCGUGCAGGCGGUUGCGACUCGCAAGAUCUAGCGUUUCCCCUCCUCUCCUCUAAACGCUGCAGUUAAAACGCUGGUGGUGUGAGGGUGAUUCUCCUCCAGCUGCUGCUGCUGUCAUUCUUCCCCACAAAGAAACAAAAAAAUGUGGGGAAAAACAUCUAAAGGAGAAGAAUGUCCCCUCAGGAUCAGCAUUUCUUCACUUCAACAGGACACAUUGGCUAUCUCUGGUACAGCUUUUGAGAAAUGGAGCAGCAACACCUAAUUCACUGUCCAGAAGUACACUUGGAUCAGAAACUUUGGCGAAAUUUUCUAGAUGAAAAUCUCAUCCAUCUGAGAACAUCCUGAGUUACCUGGUGCUUGGGGAGCUCAUAUGGGACCAUAGACCUGGAUCCCCAAAUGUCAUCUGGGAUCCUUGGGCGUCUCACUCCUAUUUAGAUAUUUCUCAUUGGUUAAUAGGAGGUAAGUGUCUGAGUA
rnacentral:lncRNA from 14 species